GCGCCCGUAGCUCAGAUUGGAUAGAGCGUUGGUCUCCGAAACCAAAGGUCGGACGUUCGAGUCGUCUCGGGCGCA
rnacentral:tRNA from 1 species